CAGGCAGCCAUUUUGCAGCGGCUCAGCCAAGAGGGGAGUGCCAUUCUCGGUGGUGAUAUGAGGGCUGACUCACCAGGACACUGUGCAAAGUAUGGCAGUUACACCAUGAUGAACUUGAACACCAACAACGUCAUCGACAUUCAGCUAGUGCAGAGCAACGAGGUUGGCGGGAGUACCAACAUGGAGAAGGAAGGUCUUAAAAGGAGCCUUAAACU